rnacentral:lncRNA from 1 species
GUCGCUCUGCAGGAACCUGUCUGUGUGGAAGAGUUCUCAAAUUGCAGAGCUCUUGGUAGGGCUUUCCUUCGAUCAUCAGGAAGAACCAUUGCUGUCGGCAUUGUAACCCGCAUAAUUGAGGAUCAGCAAUAGUUGGACCUUGGCCUAAUGAUUAAUACGUGGCUCGUAAUAUCUAAUUGAGGAUCAGCAAUAGUUGAACCUUGGCCUAAUGAUUAAUACGUGGCUCGUAUUAUCAGAUCGUGAAGCAGCCGCUCCUGGCGGUCGAUUUCUGAAGCCACCGGUCAAGAGAGCAUCUGAGCAUGUAACAAUAUGGAGGGAAUUUCGUAGGAAGCAAACUC